rnacentral:tRNA from 1 species
AGGGAUAUAGCUCAGUGGGCGAGCACAUGUUUAGCGUGCACGAGGUCCUGGGUUCAAUCCUCCUAGUACCCCCU